rnacentral:lncRNA from 1 species
AACGUUCACAAGAACCAAAACCGGAAAAACGUUAGACUACUUAGUAGAGUCCUAACAGUAUGAUAUUGCAACCAGUACUUUUUCUUAUUCAAUCGAACAAAGAGCAAAACCUAAUUAUAUUGUUCUAUUAUACCCCGAGAGUGUAAAUUUGGAACGAAUCGAUGUCAACGUUCACAAGACCCAAAACCGGAACAACAUUAGACUACUCAGUUGCGCCUUAACAGUUAAACUUUGCAACGAGUACUUUUUCUAAUUCUAUCGAAUAAGGAGUAAAAGCUUUCUAUUAUACCCCGAGAGUGUAAAUUUGGAACGAAUCGAUGUCAACGUUCAUAAGAACCAAAACCGAAGCAACGCUAGACUAUUCAGUUGAGCCCUAACAGUGUCACUUUGCAACUAGUAUUUUUUCUUAUUCAAUCGAACAAAGAGCAAAACCUAAUUAUAAUGUUCUAUUAUACCCCAAGAGUUUUAUUUUAGAACGAACCGAUGUCAACGUUCACAAGAACCAAAACCGGAACAACAUUAGACUACUCAGUGGCGCCAUAACAGUAUAACUUAGCGACGAGUAUCUUUUCUCGUUCAAUCGAAUAAAGCGUAAAACCGAAUAAUAUUGUUCUAUUAUGCCGCGAGAGUGUAAAUUUGGAACGAAUCGAUGUCAACGUUCACAAAAACCAAAACCCGAACAACAUUAGACUGCUCUGUUGCGCCAUAACAGUAUAACCUUGCAACGAGUACCUUUUUCUCAGUCUACCGAAAAAAGAGUAAAAGCUUUCUCUUAUGCCCCGAGAGUGUAAAUUUGGAACGAAUCGAUGCCAACGUUCACAAGAACCAAAACCGGAAGAACGUUAGACUACUCAGUUGAGCCCUAACAGUAUAACUUUGCAACUAGUAUUUUUUCUCAUUCAAUCGAACAAAAAGCAAAACCUAAUUAUAUUGUUCUAUUAU